UAGUUGUUUAACUAUGGCAAUAGAAAGUGUAUAGUGUCUUAAUUGCAUAAAAUGAUUUUAUUCUUGUUGUUUAAUAAUUUAUUUCAACUAGUUAGCAGUUAGUAUUUUGGUAGAAUGCGAGUUUUAUAAGAUGUCACUAUAAUAAGGGGAUUGGACACAGUGCCAGCAUCCGCGGUUAAUCUGUUUUCUUUGCUUUCAUUUGGGGUUUGAUCAAAGGAUUAGAAGUAAAGGUAGGUGAAAUUUUUUUGCGUCAAUAUUUUUCCUUUGUUAUGAUAUAAGACGAAGUUAAGCGACAGGGAUUAGAUACCCCAUUAGUCGUCGUUUUAUUAUUCUCUAGUUUUAUAACUAAAUUAGUUUGGCAGCGAGUUACCCCUUUCGGGGGAAGGUGUGUCGUAAAGGACGAUCCGCCAAAUAAUUAACCCAUGUUAUGUUGGUGUAUAUCUGGUUUGAUAUUAUUGCUUAGUAGCUCAAUUUGUGUACAAUUGAUUAAGCCAAGUCUAUGUGCUGCAUGCACGGGUGUUCAUGCGUUACAAUUAUAUAGAGUGUGUCUGUAAUGCAUUCUUUUUUAGGACUCGAUAGUAUAAUUAGAUUAGUUUGCUAAUUAGAAGCGGGUUUAACUCGGGUACACACCGCCCGUCACCCUCGACUUUUGUUGAGGUAAGUCGUAACAUGGUAACCACAAAUGAAUUUGUGGUUA
rnacentral:ncRNA from 1 species